UACGUAGGGUGCAAGCGUUGUUCGGAAUUAUUGGGCGUAAAGGGCUCGUAGGCGGUCUGUCGCGUCGGGAGUGAAAACUCAGGGCUUAACCCUGAGCCUGCUUCCGAUACGGGCAGACUAGAGGUAUGCAGGGGAGAACGGAAUUCCUGGUGUAGCGGUGAAAUGCGCAGAUAUCAGGAGGAACACCGGUGGCGAAGGCGGUUCUCUGGGCAUUACCUGACGCUGAGGAGCGAAAGUGUGGGGAGCGAACAGG
rnacentral:rRNA from 1 species